UAACACAUAUUAUGGUUCUCUAUUUUUUUAUCUCUAGAUUCACAAUGAAUUGUGUUUAUUGAGGUACAGUUCUGUGAUCAUCGACAGGAACUCUAAAAUAUGUUAGGGACAGGCGAGUCAACCUAUCUGAAAUACUAAAGCACUUUAAAUGAGACAUGGUAGGCAGCUCCUGAAGUAUUACCACCACAACUACUUCAACCACCAUCUCCCUUCAGAACCUCUUUGAGUUAGCCCAAGAACCUUGGUCAUAGUAGUGCCCUCCAGACUAGCUCAGGUCCCUUCUUACUUCUCCCUUCCCUCCACUCAUCAAGGAAGCAAUACUUAAUGAAAAGGGGCUUGCUAUCAUUAUCAACUGUUACCAAUGGGCAGUAAUCCAAGAGCAGAAAAGCAUUCUCAGGAAAAGACAAGAGGAGACCUCUGCCAGGUGGGGCAGAACUACCAUUCUAUCAUGCCAGGUCUCUUGACUCCUGUGGGAUGAGAAGAAAUGCCAUUCUCAUAUCAGUCUUUUGCCUUUAGGGUAGGGAGAGAAAAUGCUAUUCCAUUGUUCCAGGUCUCCUGCCUGGCUUCCAGCCUCCUGUGUGAAGAGGAGAAACACUACUCCAUCAUAUACCAGUCACACUUGUCUCCUGCUUGGUCUUCUGCCUUCUGUGGGUAGAGGAGAAAAUUCAUUUCAUCCAGACUUCUGCCUUUGGGGUGGAGAGAGCCUUUUGGGAUCAGUUGGCAGGGAAGCUGCAGAAUGUUUCCUGAAUUUGACGCUGGUUUUAUCUGUCUCCAUCAAAGGAAAUUUUGUCAUGGAAUAUUGGAGGCAGAAGAGACUUUAAUGAUGAUUUAUUCUAAACCCUUCAUUUUAUAGAUGCAGAAAUUGAGGUUCAAAGGUAUAUUGUCCUGAAGGUGAUCCAGUCCUAGAACUCAGAUCUCCUGACUUCAAAUUGAGGAUUUGGUCACCUAUCAGUGAAAGGGCAUAAUCUCAUUCUUGAAUUUUUGUAACUUUU
rnacentral:lncRNA from 1 species